rnacentral:rRNA from 1 species
AAAAACAUGUCUGUGUGUGUGAGUUAUAAAGUCUAGCCUGCCCACUGGUUAUUUAAAGGGCCGCGGUAAUUUGACCGUGCGAAGGUAGCAUAGUCAGUAGUCUUUUAAUUGAAGGCUUGAAUGAAAGGUUGGACGAAGGAUAGGCUGUCUCCUUUUUGCGGUUUGAACUUGACUUUUAAGUGAAAAGGCUUAAAUUGUUUAGUGGGACGAUAAGACCCUAUAAAAUUUUAUAUGGGUUCAAUUUAGUUUACUAUUUAAGUGAAAAGUAUUUUUGUUGGGCUUAUAUUCUGUUGGGGAGAUAUAGAUAUAAUAUGUAACUGUCUGUUUAAUUUAAUAGUUGUAGUUAGUGUUUGAUCCUUCUUUGUGGAUUAGAAGUAUAAGUUACUUUAGGGAUAACAGCGUAAUUUUCUUUGAGAGUUCUUAUCGAUAAGAGUAGUUGCGACCUCGAUGUUGAAUUAAAAUUUCAGUUAGGUGUAGGUGCUUAACUAGUGGGUCUGUUCGACCUUUAAAAUUUUACAUGAUUUGAGUUCAAACCGGUGUGAGCCA